GUUGUGUAGUUGUAGCUGUGGCUGUUGUAUUGCUGCUGGCCCUGCUAACUGCCCCCUGCCCCCUCCAGGCCAUGACCAGUGCACUUCUGUCUCUCCAUUUCCUCUUUGUCCGGAGGAACCAGUCGGCCGAGCAGUGGCGCAGCCACCAGCUCCUGAGCCUAAUCAGCAACUCGGCCACCAUGUUGAGCCCGGCCAGCUCAGAUGUUAUGGCCUGCGAGUACCUGUCACUGGAGGUGAUCAGCGCUGGAUACUGAUUGGCUUCCUCCUGUGCCACGGCUGCCUGAGCUCGAACCCGCAGUGCCUGGAGCUGUGGAAGCUGGGCCUGCAGCGCUCGCUCUACAUCAGCCUCAUCCGCGACGACGCCCUGCAGAUCCACAAGGUCA